CGCGGCCUAUCAGCUUGUUGGUGGGGUGAUGGCCUACCAAGGCGACGACGGGUAGCCGGCCUGAGAGGGCGACCGGCCACACUGGGACUGAGACACGGCCCAGACUCCUACGGGAGGCAGCAGUGGGGAAUAUUGCGCAAUGGGCGAAAGCCUGACGCAGCGACGCCGCGUGAGGGAUGAAGGCCUUCGGGUUGUAAACCUCUUUCAGCGCCGAAGAAGCGAAAGUGACGGUAGGCGCAGAAGAAGCACCGGCUAACUACGUGCCAGCAGCCGCGGUAAUACGUAGGGUGCAAGCGUUGUCCGGAAUUAUUGGGCGUAAAGAGCUCGUAGGCGGUUUGUCGCGUCUGCUGUGAAAACUCGGGGCUUAACUCCGGGCCUGCAGUGGGUACGGGCAGACUAGAGUGCGGUAGGGGAGACUGGAAUUCCUGGUGUAGCGGUGAAAUGCGCAGAUAUCAGGAGGAACACCGGUGGCGAAGGCGGGUCUCUGGGCCGUAACUGACGCUGAGGAGCGAAAGCGUGGGGAGCGAACAGGAUUAGAUACCCUGGUAGUCCACGCCGUAAACGUUGGGCGCUAGGUGUGGGGCUCUUUCCACGAGUUCCGUGCCGCAGCAAACGCAUUAAGCGCCCCGCCUGGGGAGU
rnacentral:rRNA from 1 species